CAUGCAAGUCGAGCGGUAACAGAAAGUAGCUUGCUACUUUGCUGACGAGCGGCGGACGGGUGAGUAAUGCUUGGGAACAUGCCUUGAGGUGGGGGACAACAGUUGGAAACGACUGCUAAUACCGCAUAAUGUCUACGGACCAAAGGGGGCUUCGGCUCUCGCCUUUAGAUUGGCCCAAGUGGGAUUAGCUAGUUGGUGAGGUAAUGGCUCACCAAGGCAACGAUCCCUAGCUGGUUUGAGAGGAUGAUCAGCCACACUGGAACUGAGACACGGUCCAGACUCCUACGGGAGGCAGCAGUGGGGAAUAUUGCACAAUGGGCGAAAGCCUGAUGCAGCCAUGCCGCGUGUGUGAAGAAGGCCUUCGGGUUGUAAAGCACUUUCAGUCAGGAGGAAAGGGUGUGAGUUAAUACCUCACAUCUGUGACGUUACUGACAGAAGAAGCACCGGCUAACUCCGUGCCAGCAGCCGCGGUAAUACGGAGGGUGCGAGCGUUAAUCGGAAUUACUGGGCGUAAAGCGUACGCAGGCGGUUUGUUAAGCGAGAUGUGAAAGCCCCGGGCUCAACCUGGGAACUGCAUUUCGAACUGGGCAAACUAGAGUGUGAUAGAGGGUGGUAGAAUUUCAGGUGUAGCGGUGAAAUGCGUAGAGAUC
rnacentral:rRNA from 1 species